UACAGGGGGUGCAAACGUUGCUCGGAAUCAUUGGGCGUAAAGGGCGCGUAGGUGGCCCGGUCAGUUCGUGGUGAAAGCGCGGGGCUCAACCCUGCGUCGGCCAUGAAUACUGCCGCGGCUGGAGCACUGUAGAGGCAGGCGGAAUUCCGGGUGUAGCGGUGGAAUGCGUAGAGAUCCGGAAGAACACCGGUGGCGAAGGCGGCCUGCUGGGCAGUUGCUGACACUGAGGCGCGACAGCGUGGGGAGCAAACAGG
rnacentral:rRNA from 1 species